ensembl:snoRNA SNORD83 Small nucleolar RNA SNORD83
GCCAAAUGAUGUAGAAAUGAUGACAUAGCCCAUCGUGCAAAGAUGACAUUUCAUCUAUCACCCAAUUCUGAUGGCU